GACGAACGCUGGCGGCGUGCCUAAUACAUGCAAGUAGAACGCUGAAGCUUGGUGCUUGCACCGAGCGGAUGAGUUGCGAACGGGUGAGUAACGCGUAGGUAACCUGCCUGGUAGCGGGGGAUAACUAUUGGAAACGAUAGCUAAUACCGCAUAAUAGUAGAUGUUGCAUGACAUUUGCUUAAAAGGUGCAAUUGCAUCACUACCAGAUGGACCUGCGUUGUAUUAGCUAGUUGGUGAGGUAACGGCUCACCAAGGCAACGAUACAUAGCCGACCUGAGAGGGUGAUCGGCCACACUGGGACUGAGACACGGCCCAGACCCCUACGGGAGGCAGCAGUAGGGAAUCUUCGGCAAUGGACGGAAGUCUGACCGAGCAACGCCGCGUGAGUGAAGAAGGUUUUCGGAUCGUAAAGCUCUGUUGUAAGAGAAGAACGAGUGUGAGAGUGGAAAGUUCACACUGUGACGGUAUCUUACCAGAAAGGGACGGCUAACUACGUGCCAGCAGCCGCGGUAAUACGUAGGUCCCGAGCGUUGUCCGGAUUUAUUUGGGCGUAAAGCGAGCGCAGGCGGUUAGAUAAGUCUGAGGUUAAAGGCUGUGGCUUAACCAUAGUACGCUUUGGAAACUGUUUAACUUUGAGUGCAAGAGGGGAGAGUGUAAUUCCAUGUGUAGCGGUGAAAAUGCGUAGAUAUAUGGAGGAACACCGGUGGCGAAAGCGGCUCUCUGGCUUGUACUGACGCUGAGGUCGAAAGCGGGGGGAGCAAACAGGAUUAAAUACCCUAGUAGUCCAAGGGCGAAUUCACACGUUGUAUAUCAAGCUGAUCGAGCCUUCGACUUCGAGGGAAAAAAAAAAGAAACAUCUUUUGUCCCUUUGUGUGGGGUUUAUAGACCUUUCCCAUCCCCUUAUUUCUGCUUCUUCUGCUGACCUUUCUGUCCCAUCUGUCUAUAUGUCAUACUUCCCUGUUGUGUUCCAUGCCUUUCUGUUGUGUUUUUUUCUGCUUCUCUUGUUUGUGCACUGUGAUGCUGUACUUGUCCUUGCUCUUUCCUGUAUCCCCUGAUGUCUGAUGCUUGUGUCUUCUGUUUUUGUCCUCUUAUUACCUACUACCCUCUUGCUUGUGAUGUUAAUUGUUCCUACUGCCGCUGUCGUCUGUUUUCUAGU
rnacentral:rRNA from 1 species